rnacentral:pre_miRNA from 1 species
AGGAACAGCCAUCAUGUAAGACAUUUCUAACUGAAAGAUGUAAUACGUGAUUGGUGUUCCCAG